ACUAAAUAAUUUAUUAUGUCCUAAUAUGUAAAACCUUAAGAUUUAUAGGGUGUAUUUGGUUUUGACCAUGACUGUAGCUUGCGGCUAUGAAAUGGAGAAAUAACAUUGGCGUGUUAUGUAACAGGCUGGACAUAUCACAAUGAUCAACCAAAUUUGGAUCCUGAAGAGGAGUUUUUUUGGGGGGGGGUUCCAAUCCUUGAUGGACCCGGACAACAGAAAGAGCUAAAACAGCUAUUCUCGGAAUAAAGUGAGGGGCUGUUUCAAGGCACGGUGCCGAGCAGUUUAAUCCUUACCUGCAGCAUGUAGCUGUGAUAGUCCUUGAUCCUCACUUGCCAGAAUCGUUGCAAGGCCAGGACGCUGCCAAUUCCCACCUCAUGGAAUACCUGCUCCACCACAUCUGGGAAGGGACUGGCUCCCAGUCGAGCCUCCCUGUCGACUGUCACCCGCAGCAGGCGGGUUAGGCGCAGGUAAUGCUCGUGGACCAGGUCCGUGAGCGUCUCCA